UACAGGGGGUGCAAACGUUGCUCGGAAUCAUUGGGCGUAAAGCGCACGUAGGCGGUCUGUCGCGUCGGAUGUGAAAACCCGGAACUCAACUCCGGGCCUGCAUUCGAUACGGGCAGACUUGAGUACUGCAGGGGAGACUGGAAUUCCUGGUGUAGCGGUGGAAUGCGCAGAUAUCAGGAGGAACACCGGUGGCGAAGGCGGUUCUCCGGGCAUUACCUGACGCUGAGGAGCGAAAGUGUGGGGAGCGAACAGG
rnacentral:rRNA from 1 species